rnacentral:misc_RNA from 1 species
CCGAGUUAUACAACUCAUCAACCCUGUGAACAUACCUAUAACGUUGCCUCGGCGGGAACAGACGGCCCCGUAACACGGGCCGCCCCCGCCAGAGGACCCCCCUAACUCUGUUUCUAUAAUGUUUCUUCUGAGUAAACAAGCAAAUAAAUUA